rnacentral:rRNA from 1 species
GAUGAACGCUGGCGGCGUGCCUAAUACAUGCAAGUCGAGCGAACGGACGAGAAGCUUGCUUCUCUGAUGUUAGCGGCGGACGGGUGAGUAACACGUGGAUAACCUACCUAUAAGACUGGGAUAACUUCGGGAAACCGGAGCUAAUACCGGAUAAUAUUUUGAACCGCAUGGUUCAAAAGUGAAAGACGGUCUUGCUGUCACUUAUAGAUGGAUCCGCGCUGCAUUAGCUAGUUGGUAAGGUAACGGCUUACCAAGGCAACGAUGCUUAGCCGACCUGAGAGGGGAACCGGCACACUGGGACUGAAGACCGGGCCAGGAUCCCAACGGAGGGAGGCAGUAGGAAACUUUCGGCAAUGGGGGAAGGCUGACCGAGGAAAGGCGCGGGAGGGAUGAAGGGCUUCGGAUCGGAAAAACCUUGUAAUAAGGAAAGACAUAAGUUGAAGGAACCGAGCACAGCUUGACGGUACCUAAACAAGAAGGCAAGGCUAACUUCGUG